GGGAGGGGAUGGUGAGAGAGAAAAAGAGAGAGACACUGAGGCCUAAGAAGCAGGCAUUAGAGUGAGAGAAUAAGUGAUAAAUAGAGAGAAAUUAAAAGAAAAAAAGAAGCCUAUUUCGUUCAACUCGCUAGAAAAUUUCAUCGCAUUGUCUCUUCUGUUCAUCUUCUAGCAUUCUCUCUUCCAUUUCUCUUAUCAGAAGCGGUUUCCAAUGAGUCGUUUAGGGUUUAAAUCCGUGGUCUAUCACGGUGACCUUUGUUUGGGAGAACUGGACGCUAUUCCGGUGACAGACAAGACUUUCCAGUUCCCAAACAACGAGAUACGAAUCCACCGCAUCUCGCAAAGUGGGCGUUGCCCUCCUCUUUCAAUUCUGCAAACUAUUUCUUCGUUUUCCGUUCGCUUUAAGCUUGAAUCUUCUUCUCCACACGAGCAGUCCCAU
rnacentral:misc_RNA from 1 species